CCUACGGGAGGCAGCAGUGAGGAAUAUUGGUCAAUGGGCGUAAGCCUGAACCAGCCAAGUCGCGUGAGGGAUGAAGGUUCUAUGGAUCGUAAACCUCUUUUAUAAGGGAAUAAAGUGCGGGACGGUUCCCGUUUUGUAUUUACCUUAUGAAUAAGGAUCGGCUAACUCCGUGCAAGCAGCCGCGGUAAUACGGAGGAUCCGAGCGUUAUCCGGAUUUAUUGGGUUUAACGGGUGCGUAGGCGGCCUUUUAAGUCAGCGGUGAAAGUCUGUGGAUCAACCAUAGAAUUGCCGUUGAAACUGGUUUUCUUGAGUGAGCGAGAAGUAUGCGGAAUGCGUGGUGUAGCGGUGAAAUGCAUAGAUAUCACGCAGAACUCCGAUUGCGAAGGCAGCAUACCGGCGCUCAACUGACGCUCAUGCACGAAAGUGUGGGUAUCGAACAGGAUUAGAUACCCUAGUAGUC
rnacentral:rRNA from 1 species